rnacentral:rRNA from 1 species
CAGCAGCCGCGGGAACACGGAGGGUGCAAGCGUUAAUCGGAAUUACUGGGCGUAAAGCGUGCGUAGGCGGUUCGUUAAGUCUGUUGUGAAAGCCCUGGGCUCAACCUGGGAAUUGCAGUGGAUACUGGGUCACUAGAGUGUGGUAGAGGAUAGUGGAAUUUCCGGUGUAGCAGUGAAAUGCGUAGAGAUCGGAAGGAACAUCUGUGGCGAAGGCGACUAUCUGGGCCAACACUGACACUGAGGCACGAAAGCGUGGGGAGCAAACAGGAUUAGAUACCCCGGUAGUCCCUGUCUCUUAUAC